rnacentral:ncRNA from 2 species
CUUUUAUAUUCGGGGUGCCAAGUGCUGAGAUUAUACCCGCUAACCUGAUAAACUUAGUAGUUUCGUAGGGAAAUAAAAAGCGAUUUCA